AAAAACGCUGGGUUGGUUUUUUAACCCAAAUGCUGGGUUGAGACUGCUGGGUAACAAAAUUGGGUUGAUUCAACCCAAUUUGGGUUGAAAAUCGAUCUUUAUCUAUAACCCAGCAGUGCUGGGUUGGGAACGCGGACGUGAAAGAGAGCACGCACGUCACGUCAACAUGCAGGGACAUCAACGUGAGAAACCGCCAUUUUCUUUGCACUGUCUUUGAGGGGAAGCGAGUGAAAUUCUGUGUGAGACGUAAGUUAUUUAGUGUGUAUUUAACAAUUUUCAUAAGAAAUAACACACUUAGUUUACUUAGUAUAAUAUACACGCGCUUUUUUUUCUGUUUCUCCGCCUGACGGCCGACUUGUUGCUCCGCCUCACACUGACCUGCUGCUCCACUUCACCGCCGACCUGUGCUCGCCUUAUGGCCGAACUGUUGCUCCGAGUCCGCCUGACGAGCGACCUGUUUCUCCGGACCUGUUUCUCCGCCUAACGGCGACCUGUUUCUCCGGACCUGUUUCUCCGCCUAACGGCGACCUGUUGCUCCGCCUAACGCCCGAGCUGUUGCUCCGCCUAACGCCUGACCUGUGCUCGCCUCACGCCCGACCUGCUGCUCCGCCUCACGCCCAGCCUGUUGAUCGGUGGACGGGAAAGCGCGCAUGGCAUCGGAAGGAGCUCGAAAAGUAUAAGGUGAUGACAAUGGAUAAUUGCGUG